UCACUCCUUACAGAGGCAGUCUUCUUAGAGUCCCCGCCAUCACGCGCUGGCAACUAAGAACAGGGGUUGCGCUCGUUGCGGGACUUAACCCAACACCUCACGGCACGAGCUGACGACAACCAUGCAGCACCUUGCUAACUUUCCUUGCGGACUAUAAACUUUCAUCUAUAUUAACUUAGCAUUCGAGCCUAGGUAAGGUUCCUCGCGUAUCAUCGAAUUAAACCACAUACUCCACCGCUUGUGCGGACCCCCGUCAAUUCCUUUGAGUUUCACCCUUGCGGGCGUACUCCCCAGGUGGCUUACUUAAUGGUUUCCCUUAGAUGCUGAUUCAAUCCAAACCAACAUCCAGUAAGCAUCGUUUAGGGCGUGGACUAC
rnacentral:misc_RNA from 1 species